rnacentral:tRNA from 1 species
GACGAUAUAGUUUAAGUUGAGAUGGGUGCUCUGCAAGCAUUCGGUGAAUAUUUCUAUCGUUA